AUUGAACGCUGGCGGCAUGCUUUACACAUGCAAGUCGAACGGUAACAGGCCGCAAGGUGCUGACGAGUGGCGAACGGGUGAGUAAUGCAUCGGAACGUGCCCAGUCGUGGGGGAUAACGCAGCGAAAGCUGCGCUAAUACCGCAUACGAUCUAUGGAUGAAAGCGGGGGACCGUAAGGCCUCGCGCGAUUGGAGCGGCCGAUGUCAGAUUAGGUAGUUGGUGGGGUAAAGGCUCACCAAGCCGACGAUCUGUAGCUGGUCUGAGAGGACGACCAGCCACACUGGGACUGAGACACGGGCAAGACUCCGACGGGAGGCAGCAGUGGGGAAUUUGUGACAAUGGGCGCAAGCCUGAUCCAGGAAUGCCGCGUGCAGGAAGAAGGCCUUCGGGUUGUAAACUGCUUUUGUACGGAACGAAAAGGCUCUGGUUAAUACCUGGGGCUCAUGACGGUACCGUAAGAAUAAGCACCGGCUAACUACGUGCCAGCAGCCGCGGUAAUAC
rnacentral:rRNA from 1 species